rnacentral:rRNA from 1 species
UACGUAGGGUGCGAGCGUUGUCCGGAAUUACUGGGCGUAAAGAGCUCGUAGGUGGUUUGUCGCGUUGUUCGUGAAAACUCACAGCUUAACUGUGGGCGUGCGGGCGAUACGGGCAGACUGGAGUACUGCAGGGGAGACUGGAAUUCCUGGUGUAGCGGUGGAAUGCGCAGAUAUCAGGAGGAACACCGGUGGCGAAGGCAGGUCUCUGGGCCACUACUGACGCUGAGAAGCGAAAGCAUGGGGAGCGAACAGG